UAUUCUGCCCUACGGGGAAGGAUGAGAAGCUUCGACUAAGGUUCGACUCGAGCGUCAGCGAGAGAACGUUGCCGCAGGCAACGGCCCGAAGGGCAAGGCGCUUUAGCGCCGAGUAAUCCUUCCCCCACCACCA
rnacentral:sRNA from 1 species